CGGUGUUUAACUGGCGUGAUGUGGGACGUCCUACCGGUGGGCUUAGCCUCGCGAGGGGCGGCCCAACUAAUAUCCCGUCGCGGUGCUCUUUACUGAGUGUCGAGUCGGGCCGGUACGUUUACUUUGAACAAAUUAGAGUGCUUAAAGCAGGCUAUCCUCGCCUGAAUACUGCGUGCAUGGAAUAAUGGAAUAGGACCUCGGUUCUAUUUUGUUGGUUUUCGGAACCCCGAGGUAAUGAUUAAUAGGGACAGAUGGGGGCAUUCGUAUUGCGACGUUAGAGGUGAAAUUCUUGGAUCGUCGCAAGACGGACAGAAGCGAAAGCAUUUGCCAAAAAUGUUUUCAUUAAUCAAGAACGAAAGUUAGAGGUUCGAAGGCGAUCAGAUACCGCCCUAGUUCUAACCAUAAACGAUGCCAGCUAGCGAUCCGCCGAAGUUCCUCCGAUGACUCGGCGGGCAGCUUCCGGGAAACCAAAGCUUUUGGGUUCCGGGGGAAGUAUGGUUGCAAAGCUGAAACUUAAAGGAAUUGACGGAAGGGCACCACCAGGAGUGGAGCCUGCGGCUUAAUUUGACUCAACACGGGAAACCUCACCAGGCCCAGACACCGGAAGGAUUGACAGAUUGAUAGCUCUUUCUUGAUUCGGUGGGUGGUGGUGCAUGGCCGUUCUUAGUUGGUGGAGCGAUUUGUCUGGUUAAUUCCGAUAACGAACGAGACUCUGGCCUGCUAAAUAGGCGUACCUUAUGGUAUCGCGAAGGCCCCCGGCUUCGGCCGGUGGGUUUUUACUACCAACGUACAAACAAAUCUUCUUAGAGGGACAGGCGG
rnacentral:rRNA from 1 species